rnacentral:rRNA from 1 species
CAGGGCUUGACAUCCCUCUGAAAUCUCUAGAGAUAGAGGCUCCCUUCGGGGCAGAGGUGACAGGUGGUGCAUGGUUGUCGUCAGCUCGUGUCGUGAGAUGUUGGGUUAAGUCCCGCAACGAGCGCAACCCUUAUCUUUAGUUGCCAGCAUUCAGUUGGGCACUCUAGAGAGACUGCCGUCGACAAGACGGAGGAAGGUGGGGAUGACGUCAAAUCAUCAUGCCCCUUAUGUCCUGGGCUACACACGUGCUACAAUGAAUGGAACAACGGGCAGCUAACUCGCGAGAGUACGCAAAUCCCUUAAAACCAUCCUCAGUUCGGAUUGCAGGCUGCAACUCGCCUGCAUGAAGCCGGAAUCGCUAGUAAUCGCGGAUCAGCAUGCCGCGGUGAAUACGUUCCC